UACAGAGGGUGCGAGCGUUAAUCGGAAUUACUGGGCGUAAAGCGUGCGUAGACGGUUUCGUAAGUCGGAUGUGAAAUCCCUGGGCUCAACCUGGGAAUUGCAUUUGAGAUUGCAUGGCUAGAGUAUGGAAGAGGGAAGUGGAAUUUCCGGUGUAGCGGUGAAAUGCGUAGAUAUCGGAAGGAACACCAGUGGCGAAAGCGACUUCCUGGUCCAAUACUGACGUUCAUGUGCGAAAGCGUGGGGAGCAAACAGG
rnacentral:rRNA from 1 species